AUGAGUAUCCUCUGUAUGUCACGUAAAUACUGUCCAUCUCUAUUUCUUUAGUAUGAUUUGCAAACAUCAACGUGUUAAUAAAAGUAUUCUUUCCUCAUCAGACGAAAAGCUACAUGUGCAGCAUCCAUGGGAAUACACUGUGCUUCACCAUAGAUUUUGACUCAGGCUUUGUAUGUUUGGACAGAUCCUCAAAUAUGCUACUAUGGCGAUAUAAAUUCUCUCAGCUGAAAGGCUCCUCUGACGAUGGGAAAAACAGGGUAAAACUUCUUUUCAAGAAUGCUGAAAGCAAUCAAAUAGACACGAAGGAACUAGAGUUUGCUAAUCUAAUGGCGGUCCUCCACUGUAUUCACUCUUUUAUUGCUGCCAAAGUGGCCUCCAUGGACCCUCUCUUUCCAUGCAAUCAAAGCUUGGGUGGAAAUUACAUGCACAUAUAAAAGGACAUGGUUUGCACAAUGUCAGGGGAAAAGAAAAUGCAGUUUUCAAAAUGUUUUGUUCACAAUAUGUGCUUCUGUCUCUUUAUAUGUUUCAUAUGUAUAAUGCACACAAAUCUGACUGGAUCUGCACCCAUGAUGCUUGGUUCAGUGCCAUGUGUCGUACAUCAACACCUUGACGCAAGAAAAAAGUAAAAUUAAAAUGAAAUUGGCGACAAAUGGACAAAAUGAAAAUCUCCAGUGAGAAACUGUUCUUUGUUGGCUUCAUCGAAGUUCCAUUUGUAUGUUUGCUUCUUUUUUUUUUGUAAUCGAAUAAACCCAUUACAGUUGA